rnacentral:rRNA from 1 species
CCUACGGGUGGCUGCAGUGGGGAAUCUUGGACAAUGGGCGCAAGCCUGAUCCAGCCAUGCCGCGUGAAUGAUGAAGGCCUUAGGGUUGUAAAAUUCUUUCGUCGGGGACGAUAAUGACGGUACCCGAAGAAGAAGCUCCGGCUAACUUCGUGCCAGCAGCCGCGGUAAUACGAAGGGGGCUAGCGUUGUUCGGAAUUACUGGGCGUAAAGCGCGUGUAGGCGGGCCGUUAAGUCGGGGGUGAAAGCCCAGAGCUCAACUCUGGAAUUGCCUUCGAUACUGGCGGCCUGGAGCAUGAUAGAGGCAAGUGGAAUUGCGAGUGUAGAGGUGAAAUUCGCAGAUAUUCGCAGGAACACCGGUGGCGAAGGCGACUUGCUGGAUCAUUGCUGACGCUGAGACGCGAAAGCGUGGGGAGCAAACAGGAUUAGAUACCCUGGUAGUC